UACGGGGGGGGCAAGCGUUGUUCGGAAUUACUGGGCGUAAAGGGCUCGUAGGCGGCCAACUAAGUCGGAUGUGAAAUCCCCAGGCUUAACCUGAGAACUGCAUCCGAUACUGGAUGGCUUGAAUCCGGGAGAGGGAUGCAGAAUUCCAGGUGUAGCGGUGAAAUGCGUAGAUAUCUGGAGGAAUACCGGUGGCGAAGGCGGCAUCCUGGACCGGCAUUGACGCUGAGUGAGCGAAAGCUAGGGGAGCAACGGG
rnacentral:rRNA from 1 species